AGAAGCCUGCCGUGUUUGUUAGCUUCUCUUUGUUUCGAACCGUGAAUAAGAAACGGGAGCUCCAUAUUAACCGGUUGACAACAAGCCUCUCGAUGUGGAAGUUGGAGAUUGGUUUGAGAGCACCCACCUGCGUUGAGUAGGUUCUUGAAACAUCGAGGCAACGGCAUUCGCGGGUUUCCG
rnacentral:other from 1 species